UACGGAGGGUGCAAGCGUUGUCUGGAUUUAUUGGGUUUAAAGGGUGCGUAGGCGGGUCUUUAAGUCCGUGGUGAAAGCCCAUCGCUUAACGAUGGAACUGCCAUUGAUACUGGGGACCUUGAAUUCAGUAGAGGUAGGCGGAAUUGGUGGUGUAGCGGUGAAAUGCAUAGAUACCAUCAGGAACACCGAUUGCGAAGGCAGCUUACUGGACUUGAACUGACGCUGAGGCACGAAAGCGUGGGGAGCGAACAGG
rnacentral:misc_RNA from 1 species